UACGGAGGAUCCAAGCGUUAUCCGGAUUUAUUGGGUUUAAAGGGAGCGUAGGCGGCCUAUUAAGUCAGGGGUGAAAGACGGCAGCUUAACUGUCGCAGUGCCUUUGAUACUGAUGGGCUUGAAUGUAGUUGAGGUGGGCGGAAUGUGACAAGUAGCGGUGAAAUGCAUAGAUAUGUCACAGAACACCGAUUGCGAAGGCAGCUCACUAAGCUAUGAUUGACGCUGAGGCUCGAAAGCGUGGGGAUCAAACAGG
rnacentral:rRNA from 1 species